GAAGAAUUGAUGCUUUUGAACUGUGAUGUUGGAGAAGAUUCUUGAGAGUCCCUCGGACUACAAGGAGAUCCAACUAGUCCAUCCUAAAGGAAAUCAGUCCUGAGUAUUCAUUGGACGGACUGAUGCUGAAGCUGAAACUCCAAUACUUUGGCCACCUGAUGGGGAAAACUGGCUAAUUGGAAAAGACCCUGAUCCUGGGAAAGGUUGAAGGCAGGAGGAGAAGGGGAUGACAGGGUGAGAUGGCUGGAUGGCAUCACCGACUCAAUGGACAUGAGUUUGAGUAAACUCCGGGAGUUGGUGAUGGACAGGAAAGCCUGGUGUGCUGCAGUCCAUGGGGUUGCAAAGAGCCGGACACGACUGAGCAAGUGAACUGAACUGAACUGAACUGAGAAGGGCCGGACGCUCCCGGUUUCGAUGGCAACGCCAGCGUCUCGCGCGUCUCUGGCUCCUCCUAAGGUUUUUUCAUUGACACACAAGAGAGAAAUUAAAAGAUCUGCUUUCUCAAUCUCCCACAUGUAAAGAUACUAAAAAAGAUGAUACAUCAGUAUCAGAGGAUUCUGACUCAGUGGACCACGUUCUGUCAGACCUUUCCACCUGUCCGAACUCUCCACCAUGACCUGUCCGUCUUGGGUGGCCCUACACAACAUGGCGCAUAGUUUCACUGAGGACAUGAACCGUGAAUUUCCAGAUGUUCAAGCUGGAUUUAGAAAAGGCAGAGGAACCAGAGAUCAAAUUGCCAACAUCCACUGGAUCAUCGAAAAAGCAAGAGAGUUCCAGGAAAACAUCUACUUCUGCUUUAUUGAUUACGCCAAAGCCUUUGACUGUGUAGAUCACAACAAACUGUGGAAAAUUCUUCAACAAAUGGGAAUACUAGACCACCUGACCUGCCUCCUGAGAAAUCUGUGUGCAAGUCAAGAAGCAACAGUUAGAACUACACAUGGAACAACAGACUGGUUCCAAAUCGGGAAAGGAGAACAUCAAGGCUGUAUAUUGUCACCCUGCUUAUUUAACUUCUAUGCAGAGUGCUGCUGCUACUGCUAAGUCGCUUCAUUCAUGUCCGACUCUGUGCGACCCCAUAGACGGCAGCCCAC